GUGGGUGGCAAGCGUUGUCCGGAAUUAUUGGGCGUAAAGCGCGCGCAGGUGGUUCUUUAAGUCUGAUGUGAAAGCCCCCGGCUCAACCGGGGAGGGUCAUUGGAAACUGGGGAACUUGAGUGCAGGAGAGGAAAGUGGAAUUCCACGUGUAGCGGUGAAAUGCGUAGAUAUGUGGAGGAACACCAGUGGCGAAGGCGACUUUCUGGCCUGUAACUGACACUGAGGCGCGAAAGCGUGGGGAGCAAACAGGGAUUAGAUACCCUGGUAGUCCACGCCGUAAACGAUGAGUGCUAAGUGUUGGGGGGGUUUCCCGCCCCUCAGUGCUGCAGCUAACGCAUUAAGCACUCCGCCUGGGGAUACGGUCGCAAGACUG
rnacentral:rRNA from 1 species